GAAGACUGCAGUUUUGCAUUGGUUGUGUUCAACAUUUACCAUCUGUCUUAUUUGUAAAAAUUUUUAUAAUUAGUAUUUUAUUGUUAUUAUAUGAUAAAACAUGAAUAAUACUUUAUGUGAAACUAUUUUUUUUAAUAAGAUGGACGAUCAAACUUGAACACGAAAAUACACGACUACACUUAAA
rnacentral:pre_miRNA from 1 species